UGCGCUGCUGUUUGCCCCCACUCCUUCAGUGCGACAGACAGCCUCAGAGCUGGUGGGGAGACAGCGUGCCGCUGGAAAAAUUCAUAGACAUGGAAUUCGUGGAUCAAAUGAUACUAAGGGAGACUUGCCUGGAAGCAGACUUGUAUCCGCAGUGUACAAACUCAUCCUUUAGUGCGCACACUGGCCGGAUAACACAAACACACAUUUACUCCCACAGCACACAGACACUUUCCACAGUACACACACUUGCCUUCCAGUACACAGACAUAUCCAAAGGCACACCGACAAACACCACAGCAGAAAGAUUUUCCCCAGAACACACGGACACCCCACUCCCCGUAUCAUUAGACUCUCCCAGAGGCACAUAUGUACUCCUUCAUGCAGAGACUCACCUAAGGCACACUGACGCACCCCGCGUGACACAGACUUGCCCCCCCCACAUAAGGACUCUACUAUGACACACGGACAAUCCCAGCAUCGUGCACUGUUCCCACAUCACACGAACCCUUUCUAGGAAACACACAGCAUGCAGACUUACCCCAUACAACAUGGCUUCCCCGACAAGCACACAUACUCUCAAGGCCAGUAGCCUCACCCCAGAGCACAUAGACUUUCUCCAGAGUAUACAGCUUCUUCCCACAGGAAACAGACUCUCCCCGGGGCACACAGACACCCCUGAGAUCACACACUCUCACCACAGAUCCUAGACUCAUCUUAGAGCACAGGGACUCUUGCCAAGAAACAGACUUUUCGGAGAACAGACUCAUGAGACAGCUUGAAGACCCGCAUCGCAACGUAGACUCUCCCACAACAGACAGACUCACCCCAUUGUGUACAGACAAGCACCACAGGCCACAGACCAUCACAUCAGGACACAGACCUGCCCAGCACUACACAGACACUCCCUAGAGCACGUAGAAUCACCCCACAAAGCACAGACUAAACCCAUACUACAGAGACUCCCCCUAUAGCUUUCAGACAAGUUUACCCCACCACAAAGACAUGCGACAGUACGUCUUACAACAUCUAUCACUCCUUGAUGCACAGGACUGGGCCACAGCACACAAACUUGUCCUACAGUGCACAGAUUCCUGUCACAAAAGACACACUCACCACACAAUACAAAUACUUGCUCCAGCCGGGCGUGGUGACUCACGCCUGUAAUCCCAGCACCUUGGGAUUACAAAGUAGCACAAGCUGCUGCCUACAAAACAGGAGAUGCCCAGCCAUGCACAGAGAUUCACCAAAAUGCGCAGAUUCACCCAUCAAUAUAAAUACUUGCCUCACAACUCACGCAAACACCAUCGAGCACUGAGACUCACCCUAAGUGUACACACAAGCCCUUCGGGGCACAGACUUACUCUGUAACAUACCACAGACUUACUCUGUAACAUACUGAAUCAUAUCCGCCACACUUAGAUGUGCCUUAUGAUUCACAGUGAUGCGUGUAAACGCACAGAUUGCUUCCACAAUGCACAGAAUUGCAUCAUAACACAGACUUAACUCCACAGUGCAAAACCGACGGUGCACAUAAACAUUUCCCAGUCGGUAGACAUACAACACACAUAUUGCCCCUCCAAUGUAAAGAUUUCCAUCAUGGUGGAAAGAUGUGCUUUUCCAUGCUGUUGAGCUACAACUCUGGCCUACAACAACAGAAAUACAGCUUGUGUAAUAGUUACCAGCAAGGCCUCUAGAUCCAUACUAACUGGGUUUGAAUCGAGGUCCCAUCCCUUGCUGAUUGUAUCACCUCGGGAGGAGAUGGAAGAUUGAGAGAGAGAGGAGUGUAAGCAUGGGAAGAGGGCUUCGCGCCCAGUGCACAUUUGCCACCUAGUGACUAAACUGAAUGGUGUGCUUCUCACCUCAGCCUGGUAGCCUGACCUUGACUCCUGAGUUCUACGAUCGCUUCACAACUGCAAGUCAUUCUCAUACAAAAUUUAAGUUUUCCUAAGUCUGCGCCUUUGAGAGCUUUGGAACGAUAUGCAAGUUCAAGUCACCAUCCUCUUUCUUGCUACCUCCUGUGAGAAGACCAACAUUUGGGUUACUUGUUUCUACCCUUGUUCUUCUGCUUGAUAUUGUUGCUUCUGCAGCCAUUGAUCACACACGUGUUGUCAUACAAAAACUGGGUAGCCUUUUUAUUUGUCUUGUGAAUUUUAUCAUUUGGUUCUUACGUAUUACAAAUUAAUAUUGUGUACUCUCAGUGAUAUACAACUUUUGGUCGUUGUAAAUUUGGAUGAGUUAGGGUGAGAAUGGCAUGCAAGCAAAAGAACAAAAAGAGGGAUGAUAGAGAUGCAAGAAGAGUAAAGAGGGCAAGAAAGGUUAUGUUAAUAGCGAACACAAUGAAAGUUCUUUAAAUGCUUGAUAAUGGUGAAAGCAACACUUCCUAGGUCAUAUUUUUGGUGUUAAUGAACCUACACAUCAUACAAUAAAGAAAAAUGAGAAAGCAGUUGGGGCCAGUGAAUCGGGGGCACACAAGAAUCACUGAGAAAAAUCAUACAUAACUCAAAAUGCCACAGUAGAGAAAAUAUAAAGAGAUGCGCACUUGUGGCUUCUGAAACAGAGAAGGUUGAAUAGGGUCUCUUUCUGUGUGUAAAAUCUGCCAGUGAGCAUCACAAAAAUGCACAUUUAAAUUUCAAUCUGGAUGGACAGUUAUAAAAUUCAUUGCAAGUAAUGGGUGGUUGGGUAGGUUUAAGAAAUGCCAGGUGGGUGGAUCACUUGAGGUCUGGAGUUUGCAACCAGCCUGGCCAACAUGGUGAAACUUUGUCUCUACUAAAAAUACAAAAA